rnacentral:misc_RNA from 1 species
CUAACACCGGGAUGUUCAUAACCCUUUGUUGUCCGACUCUGUUGCCUCCGGGGCGACCCUGCCUUCGGGCGGGGGCUCCGGGUGGACACUUCAAACUCUUGCGUAACUUUGCAGUCUGAGUAAACUUAAUUAAUAAAUUAAAACUUUUAACAACGGAUCUCUUGGUUCUGGCAUCGAUGAAGAACGCAGCGAAAUGCGAUAAGUAAUGUGAAUUGCAGAAUUCAGUGAAUCAUCGAAUCUUUGAACGCACAUUGCGCCCCCUGGUAUUCCGGGGGGCAUGCCUGUUCGAGCGUCAUUUCACCACUCAAGCCUCGCUUGGUAUUGGGCAACGCGGUCCGCCGCGUGCCUCAAAUCGACCGGCUGGGUCUUCUGUCCCCUAAGCGUUGUGGAAACUAUUCGCUAAAGGGUGUUCGGGAGGCUACGCCGUAAAACAACCCCAUUUCUAAGGUUGACCUCGGA